GUCAGGCUGUUGAUGUGGUCUACCUGGACUUCAGUAAAGCCUUUCACACUGUCCUCCACAACAUUCUCGUGGAAGAGCUGGCUGCCUAUGGUUUGGAUGGGCGUACGCUCCGCUGGGUGAAGCACUGGCUGGAUGGCCAGCCCAAAGAGUCAUGGUUAGUGGAGUUGAAUCCAGUUGGCAGCUGGUCAUGAGCAGGGUCCCCCAAGGCUCAGUGCUGGGGCCGCUUCUGUUUAACAUCUUCAUUAAUGAUCUUGAAGAGGGGACUGAGUGCACCCUCACUAAGUUUGCAGAUGACACUAAGUUGGAGGGAGUCUUGAUCUAUCAGAGGGGAGAAAGGCACUACAGAGGGACCUGGAUAGACCGGAUCAAUGGGCCAAGGUUAACAGCAUGAGUUUCAAUAGGGCCAAGUGUUGGGUCCUGCAUUUUGGUUGCAACUACCCUAAGCAACCCUACAGGCUUGGGGAGGAGUGGCUGGAAAGUUGCCUGGUGGAAAGGGACGUUGGUGUACUGGUGGACAGUUGACUGAAUAUGAGCCAGCAGUGUGCCCAGGUGGCCAAGAAGGCCAAUGGCAUCCUGGCUUGUAUCAGGAAUGGUGUGGUGAGCGGGACUAGGGAAGUCAUCCUGCCCCUGUACUCGUCAUUAGUGAGGCCUCACCUUGAGUACUGUGUUCAGUUUUGGGCACCUCAAUACAAGAAGGACCUGGAGGUGCUGGAACAGGUCCAGAGAAGGGCAACGAGGACAGUGAAGGGCUUGGAAAAUCAGCUCUAUGAGGAGAGGCUGAGGGAGCUAGGGCUGUUUAGUGCGGGGAAGAGGAGGCUGAGGGGAGACCUUAUUGCUCUUUUCCAAUAUCUGAAAGGUACUUACAGCAAGAGCGGGGUUGGUCUCUUCUCACUGGUGACAGGUGACAGGACAAGGGAAAAUGGCCUCAAGUUGCGCCAAGGUAAGUUUAGGUUGGAUGUUAGGAAACACUUCUUUACAGAAAGGGUUGUUAAGCUCUGGAAUAGGCUCCCCAGGGAGGUGGUGACUCACCGUCCCUGGAUGUGUUUAAGAGCCGUUUGGAUGUGGUGCUCAGAGAUAGGAUUUAGUAGAGGGUUGUUAGAGUUAGGGUACUAUGGUUAGGCUGCAGUUGGACUUGAUGAUCUUUGAGGUCCUUUCCAACCUGAGUAAUUCUGUGAUUCUAUGAAAGGUGCUGAUGAACAAAAGGGUACCAGAAUUUGUGCCCGCAACGUGCAACAUCCAUGACAGUCCCCUCGUUUUUCUUUCACAUUAUAGGUUAUAAACUUCAUCAGAGGUACCCUAGGGAAAAAAAAAAUCUAGAAAAUGUAUUUAUAUAUUUCCCAAUCGUAAAAACAAGAAAAAAAAGUACAUAAAACAAAUAUAACUUAAUUCUUGUUUGUUUGUACAUGAGAAACAUCCUGGGAAAAAAAACUAUUAUCAUUGUCAUUGUUUUUUUGUUUUGUUUAGUUUAGUUUUGUUUUGUUUUUCAAAAGUAGCCUUUGAAUGGAAAUGGUGGAGAAACACUGUUUCACUGGAUUUUCAAAAAGCU
ensembl:lncRNA